UUGUUCUGCGUUCUUUGAACUGUCUCCCAGUUAUUUAAUGGGGGGUAUUUGGAAGAUCCGUUGUUUGGUUCUGUGUACUCAUUAACUGCAGUUCACCAUCACUUGUCCCCAGGGAAAUAUUGGCCUUUUGUUUCUGAAGCACCUCAGGAACCUUGCUAAAUAGGUUUCAAAAUUCUAAAUAAGUUAGGAAUCCCCCUUCUAAGUCAUUACAAAAAAGAUCACCCACUGAAUCAUUCUGCUUUCAUCUGCGAGCAUGUUGAAAAACACAUCUGAUUGAUACUGGAGAUCUGUGUCUACGAUGUGAUUCUGUUAUGGUAAUCCUUCAUCAGGUUUAUCUUUCAUAACUUCUUCAUACUGGCAGACAGACACGAAUGUGUGGCGGGUGAGAAAAAUCUAUGAUCUUUUCUGAUUUUUACCCUUCUCAGGACCUAUUCCUUAUUUUUAACAUAACUACAUGGUUAAAAAAAAAAUUAAAAUAAAACCCUAAUGCAAUUAUUUUGUGACAAAAUUUCCUCUGAAAAAUGAUGUAAGGUCAAGUGACUGCCACCUGUGAUACUUCUGCUGAUUUACGCUGGAUCCUUGUGUUUUGAUUUUCAGUUUACUGAGUGACCACAGCAGUGAAAAACAGCAGAGCCCUAGGCGGGCUUAGACCAAAUCUAGCUGAGAUCAAGGUUGGCCAUACCAAGCCACCUUGCCACCACUUAAAGGCCUGAUAUUCAUUUCUUCAAACACACUGGGCCCAAACACUUUCUGGGCAAUGAAUCCAGACAUCUGCAUGGGUAUGGAAGCUGUAAUUCCUGAGUGGCUACUCUAAGAGGACAAGUCUAGAACAUUGUUCUUUGCUUGCUGAUAGGCUUUUGGAUCCUUUCUUAGUAUGAUUCCCUUUGAGCUCUUCAGAAGUCUACUGACAGAUAUGGAGGAGAUAGAUCCCCAAAUGGCAAUUCAUAGCUGUCAUAUUUCUGCUUGUUACACCUUGUUCUAUUGCUACAGGCAGAAACUGGAACACAGAAAGUUCUACACUAAUGCAAGGAAGAACUUCUUUACUGUCAGAGUGAUGGAGCACUGGAACAGGUUGCCCAGUGAAGUGGUGGAGUCUGCUUCCCUGGAGAUAUUCAAGACCCAUCUGGAUGCCUGUCUAUGAGACCUGCUGUAGGAUAUCUGCUUUAGGGGGAGUUGGAUUAUAUGAUCUCUAGAAGUCCCUUCCAAUCCCUACAAUUCUGUGAUUCUGUGAUAUUAAACACACAACAGCUGUGGAUGGUGCAGAAAAACUGAGCUGAUGAGUCACUUUGUUGAGGAGAAGCUUUUGAUAUUCAGCAUUGCUUUAUCAUCUAGAAAGUGUGGCUACUUCUGAAAACAUGGAUGAGAUCAUGCCUUUCUCCCUCAUUAAGCCUAUUAUACCUCUGACUAUCCUUCUGCUCUGGUCUUGACUGUAUUUCUGCUUAUAGGUUGUAGCAUUGCUUACCAGAUUCAGCAGCCUUGGGACAUUCUUCCAACUAUCUGACCAAUAAUCUUAAAAUAGCUAAUAAUAAUUCUGUAUUCCACUUAGUAAACCCUAAUUUAUUAAGCUUCUUGCACUUACUUCAUUUUGAGCAAUAUUUGCCCAUUGAGAUGCUCCUCUACAGGUGAUCCCAGUAUUGUGAUCUUGCCUUGUAAUUUCAGAGAUAAAAAAGGAGGGUUGUUCUGCAAGCAGAGAACCACUGAAGUACCUGAGCCUUCAGCUGAGGAGUCAGUUGGUAAAAUAUCAACGAAAAGAAGAGAGAAAAAACAGUCAACGCAGUCUUUCACAUCUCAUGUCUUUUUUCAUUGGAGAUAGAUGUAAAAGAAAACUCUGGGAACUAUGGAAGAAUCAGCAUCCCACAGUGACUUCUACCUGCCCUUUGAACUGAAUAUCAUGUAAUUGCCCCAUUUCACGUAACUAUUUCCUGUGGUGGAGAAAACAUGAAGCUCCUGGUUGAUACUGGAAUUGUUGCGAGCAUCUUUGCUGAACACAGAUACAGUGAGUGAUAGAGGCCUUAAAAACAGCAGUAGCAAAUGAAUAACGAACAGGACAGUCACAGGCAAGCAUCCAAAACAUUUAAUUGCACGCUGAACUUACAUUUGUUUAGUGGGAACGUCGUUAUGUCUCACCAAAGUGUCACACUGUCUGUCUAAUGCCCACUGGGCUUGAGUUCAGCAACAUGAUGGAUAGCUCAAUUUUCUGAGUAAGCAAAGAGUUCUCCUUGAAUGUUAGACACUAAUCUUCUGAUUGGAUUCAUUUGGCAGGGAGAAUUGCCCCCUGAAGUUUACUAGUAAGAGCUAAUCCAACUAUUGAUAAGGGUGUAAGAGAUCAAUGCAUGUGUUGUUAGCAAAGUACUGAAUUCAACUGCUCCCCAGCUACUGCUGCAGAAAAAGUGUAAAGCUAUUUUCUACCUUAAAAUAAAUAAAUAAAUAAAUGCCAUCGCUACAUUGAGGCAAUUUAGCAAUAUUUAAUUAAGGUUAGGGUAUUCUUUCUUCAUGUGAAGGGGCUUUAUACUGAAAAUUGAGAAGAAUAAAAAUUGCAAGCCAUUUAUGUGCAUGUAGAAUUGCACAUUCAAUCCCCAAUCCCCUUUGAAUCUUUUAAAACUGAAGAUUAAAGUUAGAGAAGAUAACAGAUUGAACCCAGAAAAAUUCUUCCACCUAUUUUUACAUCUUCCAGAGAAAUUCUCAGUGAUCUUGUCCAAGUUGCUUGCUUUCCCUCUUUUUCAUCCUUUCUUUUUUUUUUUUUUAUAUAGGCAACAAAAAGUAUAUAUCCUUCUUUGCAUCAGCUAUUUGAGUCUUUGGUGGUGCAACCCCCUCGGACCACUCUGCAAUCUCAGAGUAAGCCCACUUUGAACUUUUGCCUUCAUACAAGAGCAGUGAGUUGGGACGACCCAGCACUCCCUGUUCCGUGCUAGGAACUGCUGCUCCUUGCACUGUGGCAUGAGAGGUACCAGAAUGACAAAAUAUGGGGAGAACUGGAAGUGUGUUGUUGGGAGAAAGCUCCAGGAUUAUCUCACCUGGACUGUGGCCAGAAUGAAAAGUUUUCUGUCUGAAGUAAAUUAACUCAUUGUCCUAUAAAUAAUGCUUCUAAAGGAUGAGCUCUUUGAGCUCUUGUGAACAGCAGUGGGCUGUGAUCCUUGAUCUCCACCUGGGCUGGGAUACCUCUCAGGUUAGACAUCUCGAGAUUCAACUCAAACUGGUGUUGACAAGGAAGAGCCGUCUUUCAGACAGGUUCCAAUUGUCUACUGAGAGCAGAUGAAAAGGAAGAAUGAGUCCUGAAAAGUGCAAUUAAUUUAGAAACUUCCUCCCAGUACCCUACAGCAAGUCUCAUGGGAACCUUGCCAUUCUUGAAUCUUUAACGAAGUGACUGUAUUUGACUGUAGCAAAUUCAAUUGAACAGUUGUGUUAAAUCAGCUGAUUAUUAAGUGCUGGUUAAGUGCUACUAAGAAUCACGUAACCUAAUCUUGUAAUUUACUGUAAAAAUAUGAAUAAAUCCUAAAUUGCUGCUAAAUCAGGGUUGCAUAAUAAAAUCUAUUUGCAAUCACACAA